rnacentral:rRNA from 1 species
UACGUAGGGGGCAAGCGUUGUCCGGAUUUACUGGGCGUAAAGCGCGCGUAGGCGGGAAGAGAAGUCCGGUGGGAAAGCCCACGGCUCAACCGUGGAAGAACGCUGGAAACUCUCUUUCUUGAGGGCGGCAGAGGGAAGUGGAAUUGCUGGUGUAGCGGUGAAAUGCGUAGAUAUCAGCAGGAACACCCGUGGCGAAGGCGGCUUCCUGGGCCGCCCCUGACGCUGAGGCGCGAAAGCUAGGGGAGCAAACAGG